rnacentral:rRNA from 1 species
AGAGUUUGAUCCUGGCUCAGGAUGAACGCUGGCGGCGUGCUUAACACAUGCAAGUCGAACGAAGCACUUUAUUUGAUUUCUUCGGAAUGAUUAUUUUGUGACUGAGUGGCGGACGGGUGAGUAACGCGUGGGUAACCUGCCUCAUACAGGGGGAUAACAGUUGGAAACGACUGCUAAUACCGCAUAAGCGCACAGCAUCGCAUGAUGCCGUGUGAAAAACUCCGGUGGUAUGAGAUGGACCCGCGUCUGAUUAGUUAGUUGGCGGGGUAACGGCCCACCAAGACCGCGAUCAGUAGCCGACCUGAGAGGGUGACCGGCCACAUUGGGACUGAGACACGGCCCAAACUCCUACGGGAGGCAGCAGUGGGGAAUAUUGCACAAUGGGGGAAACCCUGAUGCAGCGACGCCGCGUGAGCGAUGAAGUAUUUCGGUAUGUAAAGCUCUAUCAGCAGGGAAGAAAAAAUGACGGUACCUGACUAAGAAGCACCGGCUAAAUACGUGCCAGCAGCCGCGGUAAUACGUAGGUGGCGAGCGUUAUCCGGAAUGAUUGGGCGUAAAGGGUGCGUAGGUGGCAGAUCAAGUCUGGAGUAAAAGGUAUGGGCUCAACCCGUACUUGCUCUGGAAACUGGUCAGCUAGAGAACAGAAGAGGGCGGCGGAACUCCAUGUGUAGCGGUAAAAUGCGUAGAUAUAUGGAAGAACACCGGUGGCGAAGGCGGCCGUCUGGUCUGGAUUCUGACACUGAAGCACGAAAGCGUGGGGAGCAAAUAGGAUUAGAUACCCUAGUAGUCCACGCCGUAAACGAUGAGAACUAGGUGUUGGGGGAAUAACUCAGUGCCGCAGUUAACGCAAUAAGUUCUCCGCCUGGGGAGUAUGCACGCAAGUGUGAAACUCAAAGGAAUUGACGGGGGCCCGCACAAGCGGUGGAGUAUGUGGUUUAAUUCGAAGCAACGCGAAGAACCUUACCAGGCCUUGACAUCCCUUGCAGAGGUAUAGAGAUAUAUCCGAGGUUAUCAAGGAGACAGGUGGUGCAUGGUUGUCGUCAGCUCGUGUCGUGAGAUGUUGGGUUAAGUCCCGCAACGAGCGCAACCCUUGUGAUAUGUUACUAACAUUGAGUUGAGGACUCAUAUCAGACUGCCGGUGAUAAACCGGAGGAAGGUGGGGAUGACGUCAAAUCAUCAUGCCCCUUAUGGCCUGGGCUACACACGUACUACAAUGGCGUCUACAAAGAGCGGCAAGCCUGUGAAGGCAAGCGAAUCUCAUAAAGGACGUCUCAGUUCGGAUUGAAGUCUGCAACCCGACUUCAUGAAGCUGGAAUCGCUAGUAAUCGCGAAUCAGCAUGUCGCGGUGA